rnacentral:pre_miRNA from 1 species
CACGUACUCUCUUCGUUCUAAAUUAGUUGAUUUGAAUUUGUCUAAAUACGGUUGUAUCUAUAUUUAUUUAGUGUCUAGAUACAUUUGUGUUAAGAUAAAUAUGAGUCAAGUAAUUUGGGAUGGAGGGAGUAGGUG